AACGAACGCUGGCGGCAUGCCUAACACAUGCAAGUCGAACGAGACCUUCGGGUCUAGUGGCGCACGGGUGCGUAACGCGUGGGAACCUGCCCUUAGGUUCGGAAUAACUCCCCGAAAGGGGUGCUAAUACCGGAUAAUGUCUUCGGACCAAAGAUUUAUCGCCUUUGGAUGGGCCCGCGUUGGAUUAGCUAGUUGGUAGGGUAAAAGCCUACCAAGGCGACGAUCCAUAGCUGGUCUGAGAGGAUGAUCAGCAACACUGGGACUGAGACACGGCCCAGACUCCUACGGGAGGCAGCAGGGGGGAAUAUGGGACAAUGGGCGAAAGCCUGAUCCAGCAAUGCCGCGUGAGUGAUGAAGGACUUAGGGUUGUAAAGCUCUUUUACCCGGGACGAUAAUGACAGUACCGGGAGAAUAAGCACCGGCUAACUCCGU
rnacentral:rRNA from 1 species